rnacentral:rRNA from 1 species
AGAGUUUGAUCCUGGCUCAGAUUGAACGCUGGCGGCAUGCCUAACACAUGCAAGUCGAACGGAAACGAUGGGAGCUUGCUCCCAGGCGUCGAGUGGCGGACGGGUGAGUAAUACUUAGGAAUCUGCCCAUUAGUGGGGGACAACUCGAGGAAACUCGAGCUAAUACCGCAUACGCCCUACGGGGGAAAGCGGAGGACCUUUCGGGGCUUCGCGCUAUUGGAUGAGCCUAAGUCGGAUUAGCUUGUUGGUGGGGUAAAGGCUCACCAAGGCGACGAUCCGUAGCUGGUCUGAGAGGACGAUCAGCCACACUGGGACUGAGACACGGCCCAGACUCCUACGGGAGGCAGCAGUGGGGAAUAUUGGACAAUGGGCGCAAGCCUGAUCCAGCAAUGCCGCGUGUGUGAAGAAGGCCUGCGGGUUGUAAAGCACUUUCAGUAGAGAAGAAAAGCCUACGGUUAAUAACCGUGAGUCUUGACGUUACCUACAGAAGAAGCUCCGGCUAAC